AGUAGGGACUGUGACAUAUCACUGGGCCUAUAACCUAGGUAAUGUGACUCUCCUUUUCUUCCUGUGUUCUGUCCCAGUGAAGAUUAUGACAAAUUUCUGGGCCAGUCAGGUGGUUUGGUGACUCUCAAACCAUGAUUCAGCAGACCUGUGAGGCUGUGAGUUCCCUAUCAGAACACAAUCUGCAGGUUGUAUUGUGCCAUAUAUCUGUGUCCAAAUUAUAAGCACAAUGAUGAAUCUUUUACUGGGAGUCAAGAUAUGUGCAGGAUGGUGAAACUUAUCACUGGACCUUUCCACAGUGUUAUUGUCACAUAUACCUUUGUCCAACAUGUGAGUGAUUUGACUCUGCAGACUGGGUCCAGUUCACAAACAAAAUUGUGCCAUAUACCUGGGCCAAGAACCUAAUAGGUAUGACUCAUGUGCCUGGGCCCUGCCUUCAGAAAGAUAGUGACAUUACACUGCACCCAGCACCUAAGAGGUGUGAUUCUCUUCUUCUACAUGGGGCCUGCCCACAGCAAGACUUGUGACAUAUCA
rnacentral:lncRNA from 10 species